UGCAAGUCGAACGAUGAUCCGGUGCUUGCACCGGGGAUUAGUGGCGAACGGGUGAGUAACACGUGAGUAACCUGCCCUUAACUCUGGGAUAAGCCUGGGAAACUGGGUCUAAUACCGGAUAUGACUCCUCAUCGCAUGGUGGGGGGUGGAAAGCUUUAUUGUGGUUUUGGAUGGACUCGCGGCCUAUCAGCUUGUUGGUGAGGUAAUGGCUUACCAAGGCGACGACGGGUAGCCGGCCUGAGAGGGUGACCGGCCACACUGGGACUGAGACACGGCCCAGACUCCUACGGGAGGCAGCAGUGGGGAAUAUUGCACAAUGGGCGCAAGCCUGAUGCAGCGACGCCGCGUGAGGGAUGACGGCCUUCGGGUUGUAAACCUCUUUCAGUAGGGAAGAAGCGAAAGUGACGGUACCUGCAGAAGAAGCGCCGGCUAACUACGUGCCAGCAGCCGCGGUAAUACGUAGGGCGCAAGCGUUAUCCGGAAUUAUUGGGCGUAAAGAGCUCGUAGGCGGUUUGUCGCGUCUGCCGUGAAAGUCCGGGGCUCAACUCCGGAUCUGCGGUGGGUACGGGCAGACUAGAGUGAUGUAGGGGAGACUGGAAUUCCUGGUGUAGCGGUGAAAUGCGCAGAUAUCAGGAGGAACACCGAUGGCGAAGGCAGGUCUCUGGGCAUUAACUGACGCUGAGGAGCGAAAGCAUGGGGAGCGAACAGGAUUAGAUA
rnacentral:rRNA from 1 species